rnacentral:rRNA from 1 species
UACGGCUCACCUUUAAAGAAGUCACCUGCCCUAGAGACAUGGACAACCCCCUGAAACUGGGAUUAAUCCGUGAUAGGUCAUCUCAUCUGGAAGGAGAGAUGGCUUAAAGGGGUGCGAGAGCUUCUUUCUCGUAUUCGCUCUAGGAUGGGACUGCGGCCGAUCAGGCUGUUGGUGGGGUAAUGGCCCACCAAACCUGUAACCGGUACGGGCCUUGAGAGAGGGGGCCCGGAGAUGGACACUGAGAGAAGGGUCCAGGUCCUACGGGGCGCAGCAGGCGCGAAACCUUCGCAAUGCGCGAAAGCGUGACGAGGUUAAUCCGAGUGGUCCCCGCUGAGGGGAUCUUUUGUCGGCUGUAAAAAGGCCGGUGAAUAAGGGGAGGGCAAGUCUGGUGUCAGCCGCCGCGGUAAUACCAGCUCCUCGAGUGGUCGGGGCGAUUAUUGGGCCUAAAGCAUCCGUAGCCUGUUCUGUAGGUCCUCUGUUAAAUCCAACGGCUUAACCGUUGGCCCGCAGAGGAUACCGCAGGACUAGGAGGCGGGAGAGGUGGACGGUACUCCACGUGUAGGGGUAAAAUCCUUUGAUCCGUGGAAGA